AGAGUUUGAUCCUGGCUCAGAACGAACGCUGGCGGCGUGCCUAACACAUGCAAGUCGAACGGGAUGAGGGGGCUUGCUCCUUCAUUUAGUGGCGCACGGGUGAGUAACGCGUAGAUAAUCUGCCUGGUAGUGGGGGACAACGUUUCGAAAGGAACGCUAAUACCGCAUACGUCCUACGGGAGAAAGCAGGGGACCUUCGGGCCUUGCGCUAUCAGAUGAGCCUAGGUCGGAUUAGCUAGUUGGUGAGGUAAUGGCUCACCAAGGCGACGAUCCGUAACUGGUCUGAGAGGAUGAUCAGUCACACUGGAACUGAGACACGGUCCAGACUCCUACGGGAGGCAGCAGUGGGGAAUAUUGGACAAUGGGCGAAAGCCUGAUCCAGCCAUGCCGCGUGUGUGAAGAAGGUCUUCGGAUUGUAAAGCACUUUAAGUUGGGAGGAAGGGUAGUAACUUAAUACGUUGCUACUUUGACGUUACCGACAGAAUAAGCACCGGCUAACUUCGUGCCAGCAGCCGCGGUAAUACGAAGGGUGCAAGCGUUAAUCGGAAUUACUGGGCGUAAAGCGCGCGUAGGUGGUUCAGUAAGUUGGAAGUGAAAUCCCCGGGCUCAACCUGGGAACUGCUUUCAAAACUGCUGAGCUAGAGUACGGUAGAGGGUGGUGGAAUUUCCUGUGUAGCGGUGAAAUGCGUAGAUAUAGGAAGGAACACCAGUGGCGAAGGCGACCACCUGGACUGAUACUGACACUGAGGUGCGAAAGCGUGGGGAGCAAACAGAAUUAGAUACCCUGGUAGUCC
rnacentral:rRNA from 1 species